rnacentral:tRNA from 1 species
GCCGAGGUAGCUCAGUUGGUAGAGCACAGCUCUGAAAAAGCUGGGGUCGCCGGUUCAAGUCCGGCCCUCGGCACCA